rnacentral:snoRNA from 1 species
AUUCCAUGAUGCGGGCAGUCUGAUAUGUAUCCUUGAAACGCUCCCAUGCUUCUAGAAUAGGUUCACCUUUCUGCUAAUGAAAUUCUGAAAUCUUCCCUCGUAAGAUA